rnacentral:rRNA from 1 species
UACGAAGGGUGCAAGCGUUAAUCGGAAUUACUGGGCGUAAAGCGCGCGUAGGUGGUUCAGUAAGUUGGAAGUGAAAUCCACGGGCUCAACCUGGGAACUGCUUUCAAAACUGCUGAGCUAGAGUACGGUAGAGGGUGGUGGAAUUUCCUGUGUAGCGGUGAAAUGCGUAGAUAUAGGAAGGAACACCAGCGGCGAAGGCGACCACCUGGACUGAUACUGACACUGAGGUGCGAAAGCGUGGGGAGCAAACAGG